rnacentral:rRNA from 1 species
GAUGAACGCUGGCGGCGUGCCUAAUACAUGCAAGUCGAGCGAACAGACGAGGAGCUUGCUCCUCUGACGUUAGCGGCGGACGGGUGAGUAACACGUGGAUAACCUACCUAUAAGACUGGGAUAACUUCGGGAAACCGGAGCUAAUACCGGAUAAUAUAUUGAACCGCAUGGUUCAAUAGUGAAAGACGGUUUUGCUGUCACUUAUAGAUGGAUCCGCGCCGCAUUAGCUAGUUGGUAAGGUAACGGCUUACCAAGGCAACGAUGCGUAGCCGACCUGAGAGGGUGAUCGGCCACACUGAACCGGGACACGGGUCCAAAUCCCUACGGAGGCAACCAGUGGGGAACUUUCGCCAAGGGCCGAAGCCCUACGGAGCCAACGCGGGGUGGUGGAGGAAGGUCUCCGGUUGGUAAACCCUUUUUAUAGGGAAAAACCAAAUUGGUAAGUAACAAUCACCGUUUGAAGGUACCUUAUCCAGAAGGCACCGGCUACUACGUG